UGCAUGAUUGUACUGCUCUUGGAAUAGCAUAUUUGUUAAAUAGUUAUGUGUAUACGAUAACUAUUGACCGUAUAAAAAUACCAUGAAGACAAGAAAAACUUGUUUGACAGAUAGGUGAUUGAUGAGGUAAUUAAGGAAGCUUGAGCAUGUAGAAGGCGGGACAUUUGUAAUGUAGAUGACAUGGUAUCAAUUAUUAUCAUUAUUUCGUUUUCAUGCAAUUCAAACAGUACAGCUUAUAGGCAUAUAAUGUAUCGCAAAGUAGAAGUGACAGAUGUCGGAGUUCAAGUUGUUGGAAAGAUAAAAAAGGCAAAAGAAAUUCAAACGGAAUUGUCAUUCCCUGAAUGUAAAAAUGUUGGAACGCAAUGCAUUGAACACGAAGGAAGCUACCAGCGUAAAAAAUGCGACAAAAAUGGUUACUGGACUUAUGACAAAUUGAAGGACGAAGUACUCUCAAACAACAAUAGCGUGCUAAGUUGGCUUAUGGAGAGGAAACUGAUUGCGAACAGUAGGUUGUGCCCUCAAUGUGAUGGUGAGAUGAAAUUGGUUGAGUGCAAUGAUAGGUCAGAUGGUUGUAAGUGGGAAUGUAGAAAACAGUUGAAUAGUAAAAGACAUAAGGUUGAGUUGUCAAUUCGGAAAGGUAGUUGGUUUGAGAGAAGUAAUUUAACGUUGGAAGAAAUUUUAAAGUUGACGUACUGGUGGUGUAGAGGCGUUGAACAGGAAAUGAUGAGGUUUGAAGUUGAUGUUAGUGGAAAUACGGUCGUUGAUUGGGAUAGCUUUUGUAGGGAAAUCUGUGAGGUAAAUUAUUUAGAGUGUGAGGAAAAAAUUGGUGGUCCAAAUAAGAGGGUGCAAAUAGACGAAAGUAAAUUUGGAAAACGCAAAUAUCACAGAGGUCAUAGGGUAGAAGGGCAAUGGGUGUUUGGCGGUAUAGAGGAGGAAAGUCGGAAAAGUUUUAUGUUCGCGGUUGAUGACAGAAGCGAAGCGACGCUACUGCCAAUCAUCGAAACCUUCAUAGAAAAGGGCACAACCAUAAUAUCUGAUUGUUGGAAAGCCCAUACUAAUCUCGAGAAACAUGGUUACAAGCAUUCGCUUGUAAAUCACUCAAAGGAAUUUGUGAACAAGGAUGGUGACCACACCAACAAAAUCGAAGGACAUUGGCGUCAGGCGAAGGCAAAAUUACCAGCAUUUGGCAUACGCAAGUAUAUGUUUUCGUCAUAUUUAGCUGAGUUUUUGUGGAGAUAUGAACACAAAGGUGAAGACUUAUUUGAGGUUUUCUUAAAGGAUGCAAUGAAAAUAUACGGACAGUUUUAAAAGCGAAACAAUGUUUGUGGUUUGAGAAAGCAAAAUGACUAUGAGGUGGCAAAAACAUUGUAAUUGUGUAUGAAUAAGUAGCAAAAAUAGAAGUGUGUUAUCUAGACAUGCAUAUUGUAUAAUAAUUAAUGUAUAAUUUGUGUAGGUUUACAAGUUAUAAAGUUUGAGUGCUAUAGCUGAGUGUAUGCAUGUUUAUGCGCUAGAUAUGAAUUAAUAUAUGCAUGCAUCAGUGGUGCAUCGUUUAUUUGUGUGCGUAUUAAAAAAUACAAUAACAGGUGCAUGAUGUAAUUUUUGUAUGGUAGUAUUUUGAAUUUUGAUAGUGUUUGGUUUGGGGGGAUUUCUGUGCAGGUUUAUUGAGAACGAGAAAUACAAUAUACUGAUGUCUGAUGAGUAAUAUUUUUUGCGGGGUUUAUUGAGAACGAAAAAUACAAUAUACUGUAUGAGUCGAGUAAUAUUAUUCAACUGAUAUAUCAGUAAUAUUUUGUGCGGGGCAGUUUAUUGAGAACGAGAAAUACAAUAUACUGAUGAGUAAUAUUUUGUGCGGGGGUUUAUUGAGAACGUGAGAAAUACAAUAUACGAGUAAUAUUUUGUGCGGGGUUUAUUAAG